rnacentral:rRNA from 1 species
UCGGGAAACUGAGGAUAAUACCCCAUAGGUCUUCUCUGCUGGAAUGCUUGAAGGCCGAAAACUCCGGUGCCUUAGGAUUGGUCUGCGGCCUAUCAGGUUGUAGUGGGUGUAAUGGACCCACUAGCCCGUGACGGGUAUGGGCCUUGAGAGAGGGAGCCCAGAGAUGGACUCUGAGACAUGAGUCCAGGCCCUACGGGGCGCAGCAGUCGCGAAAACUUCGCAAUGGGGGCAACCCCGACGAGGGAAUUCCAAGUGCCAGCACUUUGUGUUGGCUGUUCUCCUGUCUAAAAAACAGGAGGAGUAAGGGGCGGGUAAGACGGGUGCCAGCCGCCGCGGUAAUACCCGCGCCCCUAGUGGUGGUCGAUAUUAUUGAGCCUAAAACGUUCGUAGCCGGUCUUUUAAAUCUUUGGGCAAAUCGGGCAGCUUAACUGUCCGACUUCCGAGGAGACUGGAAGACUUGGGACCGGGAGAGGUCAGAGGUACUUCUGGGGUAGGGGUAAAAUCCUGUAAUCCUGGAAGGACCACCGGUGGCGAAGGCGUCUGACUAGAACGGAUCCGACGGUGAGGGACGAAGCCCUGGGGCGCAAACGGGAUUAGAUACCCCGGUAGUCCAGGGUGUAAACGCUGCGGGCUUGGUGUUGGGGUCCUUCGUGGGCGCCCAGUGCCGGAGAGAAGUUGUCAAGCCUGCUGCUUGGGGAGUAU